GUUCUCACUGAGUCAUUCUCAGGCUGUCUGUUCAUUUCGUUCUCAUCCCCUCUCUCUAGGGUUUCUCUCUCUCCUCUCACAUUCAGCAGCGACAUACUCAGAUUCCCCUCCUGGGCGGCAUCCAUUCCCGGAUCCUGUGCGCACCCGCGCAGCGGCAUAGGGAUGGGCGGCGCAGAUUAGGCACAGUGAGCGCAUGUGGGAUCCGGCGAGCGCAUCCGCUAUGGUUGGAGGAGGGACUAAUAGCGUAGAAGGUGUGUUCAUACCCCCGUCCCUGUGCACCCCCAAAUGCUCUGAGCUCGUCACAUUGAUUUUUAGGGGAUUUUUGUGGUUUGUUCUGGUUUUUGGGGAGGUCAUUUUGGUUUUCGAGGGUAAGGGGAGAGGAAUUUCACACGCGUGCACCAAACGCUGUGGAUCGUGGCACACAUCAAUCCUCUGCACUGGGUGGAUGUGGAUGCAGAGGAUUUUUUAGCAUGUAGAUGUUCACUGGGGUGUCGGGAACACAUCCAAGCUCACAUCGGGUUGUUUUUUCACAUCAAUUAGCAGGGAUUUUUUUACCAGUUUUUAGCUGGAUUUUAUUCACAUUUUUAUUCCACAAUCCAUGAGCAACUAGGAGGAUUUUUUGUUGCUUCAUUCAGUUUCAGUUCAAGGAACAAUAUACCUAGUUGCUAGAUAUUAGAAUGUGUGGGUCAAGUAUCUGCCUCCACACUAACGAGCCAACAGUGCUUGAUUUUCAAUAGCAGUUCCUAUGACAUUUAAACAUGCUCAUGAACAAGCUAAUGAACUACUAUAUUUCAAUGUAUUUUAUGUUCCAGUUAGUUCUGCAUUUUAGGUGGACAAGUUGAUAUAGUUGAACAAGUGCAGACAGCAGAACUUGUUGUAAAUACAGUAGAGAAUAGGUAAUUAGGAUCACGAGCUAGCCUUUAUAGUUCUCUAUUGUAUCUGACAUGUAAACAUGCUAACAUGCUAAUGAACUAUCGUAAUUCAGUUAUUUUUUCUGUUCAGUUUAGUCCUGCAUUUUUGGGUAGAUAGGUUGAUCUAAUUGACCAAUACAGGCAGCAGGACUUGUUGUAAAUAUAGAAGAGGAUAGGUAUUUAAAAUCAGGAGCUGGCCCUCAUAGUUCAAUUAUUAUUAUUUUUUCAUUCGCCCCCUUGUCAGCUACCUGAAUGUUAGCUAGUGAUGGGGUGGGGUUAGCUUACUGAUCAUCAACACAUAGUUUUUCUAGGUUGUGAAAAAAUAUUACUAAAUGAUCCCGAGCUAUAAAAAUAUAUCUCCUAUCUGACUGGGAGGCAUACUUGGUGUCUCUUAGCAGGGAUGGAUUUGUGUUGCAAUUACAUAGCUGAUUUUUUUUUAAAAAAAUCUAGGUGUCCUUUUUGUAUUUAUCUGGUUAAUUUUAGGUCUUUUUUGACAUGUGUGUGGGGGGAGGGGGGCUGAGUGGCAUAUGUGUUUAUUUGGGACCACAAAAAUCCACCAGAGUGCUUUUGCGGUUUGUGUUGUUAUGAGGUGUUUGGCAAGGAGGAAUGUAUUUUUUCACAGCCCCCUGCACAAAAUUUGAUUGCUAGUCUGCGGGCUUGAUUGCACAUGAACUAUAUAUGCAUUUCAACAUCGUAUUCGCCAAUCUAUCAGUAGAGUUUGUUGCUGAUUUACCCUUGUUAAGCUGCAACAGUACUUAAAAGCCAUGGUUGCUUUUCGUCUGCUUUGGUUUAGACACGUUACUUAGGUUAGACAAGUACUUUUUUUAGUUAGGCAAAGUAAUGUACUUAGAUAGGUAAAGUAUUAUUAUUAUUGAGGCAAAAUAUUGUUAUUAAUUUAAGCAAAAUUUAAUUUUUGAUUUAGGCGAAUUAUUGUUAUUAGUUAGCCAAAGUAUUAUUAUUAGAAAGGCACUUUUCCUUUUGAAUUAGUAAUAUACCAAACUUAGUUAUUUUCAGCUUCUCAGCAUGCUUUUUAGAUGGCUGGCUUGUUUUUAUGUUUGAUCAUUGUCACCUCAUUAGAAAUUGACGAAGCGAUACAUAUUUGUUUGAUUUUAGUUACCUCAUUGAGAACUGACAAAGCAAAUGUUUUCAGGCCAAAUCAAUAAUCUGAAUUGGUUAUGAUUUAAACAGCAAAAUGACAUGCAGCAUAUAUGGAUUAGUAAAAUGUUAUACAGAAAUUGAAAGUGCCAAAGCUUGAACCUUUUAGUGCACUGUACACAUGCACAUUAUUUGUCUUUGGCUAUCUAAUCGAAGCCCCCCUCCAUUGCUGAAGUGCUCUGGGUUUUGUCGAAUUUUUUCUCAUUGGUUUGUUGCUCAUCUUGGGUGUGCGAGGAUUUCUAUGUGGCAGCAUUCACGCGUGGUUCGUAGAAUCACAGAUCGAGGCUAAGUGUGCUGAUCAGUGGGCGGCGGGGGGAGAUCCCUGUGUGUUGGCAUCCUAUGCGGGGUGCGCCGAAGUGCGUAGCAGGUUAAGUUAUCAGCAGAGUAUGUGCUUGGAUCAUUCUAGGUAAACAUCGCUGCCGCUAAUUGCAGGUCUACAACAGUAGAUAUAGGGAUGGAGGGCAACGAGGUGUAUCCACCAAAUCAAUUCAGAAAAGGCAACUCUUUCAGCAUCACAAAACAGAUCUGUCCCGGAGAAGAUGCGAUUGUCUUGGGAGCAUCUGCUUCGUUGUAAUUGCUCCGUUGUAAUUGAUUGACUAUAUAAUUUUUUACCAGAAAAGGAAAGAUGUCCGUACAUGAUUUGUCUUUUUCGGUUUUUCCCAAAAAAAAAAAGAGGAUGCGAUUGUCCUGGGAGCAUCUACUUCCGUUGUAAUUGAUUGACUAUAUAUUUUUUACCAGAAAAGAAAAGAUGUCCGUACA